rnacentral:rRNA from 1 species
AGCGAACGCUGGCGGCAGGCCUAACACAUGCAAGUCGAACGGAUCCUUCGGGAUUAGUGGCGGACGGGUGAGUAGCACGUGGGAACGUGCCCUUUGGUUCGGAACAACUCAGGGAAACUUGAGCUAAUACCGGAUGUGCCCUUCUGGGGAAAGAUUUAUCGCCAUUGGAGCGGCCCGCGUCUGAUUAGCUAGUUGGUGAGGUAACGGCCCACCAAGGCGACGAUCAGUAGCUGGUCUGAGAGGAUGAUCAGCCACACUGGGACUGAGACACGGCCCAGACUCCUACGGGAGGCAGCAGUGGGGAAUCUUGCGCAAUGGGCGAAAGCCUGACGCAGCCAUGCCGCGUGAAUGAUGAAGGUCUUAGGAUUGUAAAAUUCUUUCAGCGGGGACGAUAAUGACGGUACCCGAAGAAGAAGCUCCGGCUAACUUCGUG